UCGGAUAUGGUGUAACGGCUAACAUUGCCGCCUCUCACAAUCGGGACUCCUAGCUUUACUGUGUACAAACAUCACGGCAGCUCGGGGUUCGAUUCCCCGUAUCCGAA